UGUCAGAAUCUCUUAUGUGAUCUUGGACAAGGGACAAGGAUGGAGCUGGAGGCCAUUUUCCAUAGCAAACAACACAGGAACAGAAGACCAAAUACCGGAGGGUUCCAAGAUGACCAAAUAGGAACAGCUCCAGUCUACAGCUCCCAGUGUGAGCGACGCAGAAGACGGGUGAUUUCUGCAUUUCCAACUGAGCUUUGAAGAGAGUAGUGGUUCUCCCAGCACAGAGUUUGAGAUCUGAGAACGGACAGACUG
rnacentral:lncRNA from 1 species